GCAUCCCGCGCGCAGUGGGCGUUACUAACGGACAGCACCGGCCUCUGGGAGUUCAGAUACAGUGAUGCUUCAGAAACUGUGGACCCUCGGACCCAGCCCCUGUUAAUGUUGAAGGACCAGGAAAUAUGAAUCUAGGUAGCAGCUGAGGCUCUAGCUAAGGACCAUGCAAAGCGUGUUGGAGAAUGUGUUUCCAGCUCACCUAAGUAAAAAAAAAAAGACUACCCGACCCGACCGCACAGAUUCGCAGUCGAGUUGAAAUCGAUCUGAAAAAAAGAAUUGGUGCGCGUUAAUUUAAACAAAUCUCCUAAGAUCCAAGGCUACAGGAUCCGAGCUCACCAAAGAUCACAACACGGGGUAUGAGUUCCCGAGAGCCUGCUGUAAAUACGCCAGCUAUUUAAUCUCACUUGGAACCUGCAAGUUAGGUAACAUCCAGAUCUCCUUCCCAAAUGAAGGGCCGUGGCACAGGUGUCCUUGGAUGACCUGAAACUCACAUGGACAGGCCUGGCUUUGGACUCCUGGACAGACAGACAUACUGCCUCAGCUUCCAGAGUGUUGGGAUGAUAGGCAUGUGCUACCAUGCAGAGCUCUGCUUUGUAUUUUGAGACAGGGUCUCACUUUGUAACCCAUCUUGAGUUACAGCAAGCCUCCUGCCCUGGCCUCUAGAGUGCUGGGUUUUCAGGUGUAUAUAACCACACUCAGUUUACUUUCUGUAUGUUAGGAUGGUUUGGUAUUUCCCAAAGUUUGAAGGCUUGGGGGAAGUUUAUGCUCUUAGGGUAAGUCAUUGUUUGGAGCCUCAAAACGUUCUCUACCAGGGGCGUGGCUAUCUUGAACAAACUAACCAGUCCUGAGUCUGUAUUCCUGACAACUUCCUGAUUUAAGUCUCACACUCAAACCAUUUUUUCUCUUCUCCUAACUCACCCAGAGCCAGGUAUCAGGCGACAAGCCACCACUUGUGUAUCCAAACCCUCUGAACUGUUCCAGUUUGCCAUUGUUUGCCUGCCCAAGUUUUCCUCUCCCUUAGGAAUGGCAGCAAAGGCUCCACCUCAGACUUACCUCCACAUUCUGCGUCUUUGUUUUAAGAGCUUGGGCUACUCUGCAACUUUCCACGUAGCCUACUGACCUUGAACUUGUGAUUCUCCUGCGUCAGGCUCCUGAGUGCUGAGAUUGCACGUGCACAUCUGCACACUGAGCCUCCUCCCAUCAACCUGUGUUCUACUGCAUCAGACAGACUUGGUGCUCACCCUUGGCCCUGCCUAGCCAUGGGGCACCCCCUUCUCUGGGUAGGAUCUGUGGCAGUAGAACCAUCUCCCAAGUUUCCUUCUGGUCCCCUCCCAGGGCUAUUACCAUCCCACCUUCAAUCCCAUCCUUAGCAAGUACAGGUGUCUAGGAAAGUGGCAUGAGGACACACAGAUGAUAAGCCAAAAGUCUUAACUCACCUCAAGAAAUAGAUGAAAGAAACUCGGAGACUAUUGGGAAUUCUCCUCUUUGAGUUAUGAUCCUCUUAGUGGAGGAUGGGGGCGGGGGGCUGGCAACAGACUUGACCACAGGAGUCAGAGGUUCUAGGACCUGGUGACUUAGUUACUAUCUGUCACACCAAUAGGCCUUCUAGAAAAAAAGAUAAGGGGUUGUUAUUUAAAAAGGAUACAAGGGGCCAGAAGGAUGGCUCAGUGGGUAAACUGUGAUGACUCAAGUUCUGUCCCCAGGACCCAUACGUUAGAACAAGUUGACUCCUCCAUGUGUCCUCUGAUCUCCAUGUGCACUGAGGCUUGCACACCCUCUGCCAGCACACAGAAAAGAACGUGAUAAAACAUUCAUAGAAAAGGCAUUAGGACCGAGGAACAAAAAGCAACUGCAGAGUGCUACCAGUCUAGUGUGCAGAAAACGAUGCCUUCCUUCUGCCAGAACACAUAAAGGCAGCCCAGGCUCAGUCCUGCACUCCUGAGGGUGGGGUAGCUGGACCAGGAGUUUUCUUCUCUGGGGACAUAGUCCUUUGUUUGUUUGUUUGGGUUUUUGUUUUGUUUUGUUUUGUUUUUUCAAGACAGGGUUUCUCUGUGUAGCCCUGGCUGUCCUGGAACUCACUCCGUAGACCAGGCUGGCCUCGAACUCAGAAAUCCGCCUGCCUCUGCCUCCCGAGUGCUGGGAUUAAAGGUGUGCGCCACCACACCUGGCUUAUAGUGAGUCCUUUGUUAUAUCCUACAUGGUUACAUGGGACCACGAAAUGCAAUCUCUCUUUCUGAAUCUGAAUGUCUGCUCAUUCUCAUUCUUUUUAAUCUCUCUCUCUCUCUCUCUCUCUCUCUCUCUCUGUCUGUCUCUCUCUCUCGUGUGUGUGUGUGUGUGUGUGUGUGUAUGUGUGUGUAUGUGUGUGUGUCUGUCCAAUACCUGACAUGGUGGAUAGAUGGUAGGCCACAGGGCCUCACUGAGCAUCAGAUCUUAGUUUUGACCUUUCUUGAGGUAGGGUCUCUUGUUGUCCUUUGCAUAUGCCAGGCUAGCUGAUCCAUGAACUCCAGAUACCUCCUCUCUCUGCAGCAGCCUCCUCUCUCUGCAACAGCCUCCUCUCUCUGCAACAGCCUCCUCUCUCUGCAGCAGCCUCCUCUCUCUGCAGACAGCCUCCUCUCUCUGCCUGCCCUCUUAACCAUAGGAGAGCUGGGACCUGAACUUGUUGGGAUUAGAGGCCCACAUCACCACAUGCUGGUUUUGGCCCUCUUUCUUAUCUUCCACCACUUGAUCCAGCCCAGGACAUCCCUCCACUCUGCCUGCCAUGAAUUAACUCUUCUCUGGGUGGGAUCUGUGACUGUAUCGCCAUCUUCCUUGCUUCAGGUCCUCUCUCAGGAUUAUAAAGUCUUUACCAAGCCACCUCCCACUUCUGCAAGAAUAGUAUACACUGCAGGUGUUGGGGAAAGGGGCUGGGUAGGGCACAGGACAGAUGCCAAGCCAGGGAUGUAAUUAACCUCAAGAAAUAGAGGGCAGAGACUUGGGCCUUCUCUCUGAAGGGAGAUGCUAAGGGUGAAAGGUAGUGAAGGGAAACGACCACUAAGGUCCGCGGCCUCUGGCAGGGACGACACCAGUGAGCACUGGCAGCGUAGCUCAGACUCCUGGAAGCAAAGGUUCGAGACCAUUCUUAGAAAAGAUACGAGGGCUGGGGUUGUAACUCAGUAGUAGUGUGCUUGCUUAACUUGCCUGAAGCCCUGGGUUUGAUUCCCCAGCACCCAAUGUAAGUGUGGUGCCCAUGCCUGUAAUGCCAGCUCCUGGGGAGGCAGAGGCAGGAGAGGCAGGUCAUCCUGUGCUGCACUGCAAGGUCGCAAGGUCGCAAGGUCGAGGCCAGCCAGGGCUUCCUGAGUCCCAGUCUCAGGAAAGUUUAAAGAAAAAUCGACACAACACAGGGGGUUGCAAAGAGUGCUCAGAGGGCAGUGGCAGAAGCCAGGUCCUCUACCCACUGCUCCCUCUCCCCAGAAUGAGGGAGGCCACACCCCUCAGUCUCUCAAGGCCAGCUUCAGAGAGCUGCUGUGACCUCACAGCUCUCAGAGUUCCAUUCUCUCUAAGCCCCCUACAGUGCCAAGCCCAGACACUGAUGCCCAGACAACCUCGACUUAUAACUCUACUUAUAUCUAGUUCCUUCCUGUCUUGUGACUCACACCACAUAGGCUAGCUAGGUCAAGUGAUAUGGAUCUUAUCACCCUCCCCCCACCCCCC
rnacentral:lncRNA from 1 species